GACGAACGCUGGCGGCGUGCUUAACACAUGCAAGUCGAACGAAGUGGCGAACGGGUGAGUAACGCGUAAUCAACCCGCCCUUCAGAGGGGGACAACAGUUGGAAACGACUGCUAAUACCGCAUACGGUAGGUGGGGAUUACGGCUGAUUGGCUAGUUGGAGGGGGAACGGCCCACCAAUGAGAAGAUCAGUAGCCGGUCCGAGAGGAGGAACGGCCAAAUUGGGACUGAGGCACGGCCCAGACUCCUAAGGGGGGCAGCAGGGGGGAAUCUUCCGCAAUGGACGAAAGUCUGGCGGAGCAACGCCGCGUGGGUGAUAACGGCCUUCGGGUUGUAAAGCUCUGUUAAUCGGGACGCGGUACCGGAAUAGAAAGCCACGGCUAACUACGUGCCAGCCGCCGCGGUAAUAC
rnacentral:rRNA from 1 species